rnacentral:rRNA from 1 species
UACGAGGGGGGCAAGCGUUGUUCGGAAUUAUUGGGCGUAAAGGGCGCGUAGGCGGUUUGGCAAGUUUGGUGUGAAAUCUUCGGGCUCAACUCGAAGUCUGCAUCGAAAACUGCCGGGCUUGAGUAUGGGAGAGGUGAGUGGAAUUUCCGGUGUAGCGGUGAAAUGCGUAGAUAUCGGAAGGAACACCUGUGGCGAAGGCGGCCAUCUGGGACAACACUGACGCUGAAGCACGAAAGCGUGGGGAGCGAACAGG